GAUGAAGAACGCAGUGAAAUGCGAUAAGUAGUGUGAAUUGCAGAAUUCAGUGAAUCAUCGAAUCUUUGAACGCACCUUGCGCCCUUUGGCCAUUCCGAAGGGCAUGCCUGUUUGAGUAUCAUGAACACCUCAACUCUUCAUGGUUUUCCAUGAUGAGCUUGGACUUUGGGGGUCUUGCUGGCCUGUGGGUCGGCUCCUCUCAAAUGAAUCAGCUUGCCGGUUUUUGGUGGGCAUCACAGGUGUGAUAACUAUCUACGCUUGUGGUUUUCCACCAGGGUAACCUUCAGCAGUGGAGGUUCACUGGAGCUUACAAAUGUCUCUCCUCUGUGAGGACAGCCCUUUGAAUGUUUGAUCUCAAAUCAGGUAGGACUACCCGCUGAACUUAAGCAUAUCAAUAAGCGGAGGA
rnacentral:misc_RNA from 1 species